rnacentral:misc_RNA from 1 species
AACUCGGUCGGGAAAUUUGGGUUAGUCCCGCACGAGCGCAACCCUCGUUUUUAGUUGCCAGCAUUUAGUUGGCACUCUAGAGAGACUGCCGGUGACAAACCGGAGGAAGGUUGGGAUGACGUCAAGUCAGCAUGCCCCUUACGUCCUGGGCUACACACGUACUACCAAUGCUUCGGACAAAGGGUUGCGAGCUAGCGAUAGCAAGCUAAUCCCGUAAACCGAGGCUCAGUUCAGAUUGCAGGCUGCAACUCGCCUGCAUGAAGGAGGAAUCGCUAGUAAUCCCAGGUCAGCAUACUGGGGUGAAUACGUUCCCGGGCCUUGUACACACCGCCCGUCACACCAUGGGAGUUGGCCACGCCCGAAGUCGUUACUCCAACCGUUCGCGGAGGAGGAUGCCGAAGGCAGGGCUGAUGACUGGGGUGAAGUCGUAACAAGGUAGCCGUACCGGAAGGUGUGGCUGGAUCACCUCCUUUUAGGGAGACCUACCCGCAUUGUUGCUUGAACGCAAUUUGUUAUUAGAGCCAAUGUUGGUCAUCCCAAGGUCGUUCGAAGGAAUAGUGUUGGCUUUCAAACUAGCUUCGGUUUGGUUCAUGGGCUAUUAGCUCAGGUGGUUAGAGCGCACCCCUGAUAAGGGUGAGGUCCCUGGUUCGAGUCCAGGAUGGCCCACCUUUGAGAGCGGUCAGCCAUCAGUUUGGAGCUUUUUGAUAGAGUUUUGAGCUGAGCGUUGAUAGCUUUUCUGGGGGUUUAGCUCAGUUGGUAGAGCGCCUGCUUUGCAAGCAGGAUGUCAGCGGUUCGAGUCCGCUAACCUCCACUGAGUGAUGAUAAGUUUGAGCCAAUUGACGUGGAAGCGUUCAGCAACUCAUCUAGAGCUUCUAGAGAGCCUGCUGGAUUAGGUUCCAGCCAGAACCUUGAAAACUGCAUAGUACUUGUCAGGUAGAAAGAGCAACCAGUGCUCGACUGUUAAGUGCUGACCGUCAAACGUCAGGCUUAAGGGUGAGCGGCUGUGUUGUGAAGUCACAGACACCAAUGAAAUUGAUAGGUCAGG